CAAUUACAUAUAUUUAAACUGCAACAUAUAUACCAAUAUUUAAAAUCGGAUCGAGUCGCGAUGGCUCUCGUAGAUCCUCGGAUCAUUAACAUAGUCAGCAGGCACAUCAACCCACCCCUCUAACCAAACAGCAUUGUAGUUUUGUACAUUCAUCCCAUAAGAAAUGCGCACCGGAUUAUAAGCAUUCUCAAAUUUCUCGCUGAAGCUUUAGCUUUGAGAGAUGUCCUCUAGCUGAUAAUAUGACUGUGGAGAGGCCUAUCCGAAUAUGUCAGCAGCAAAAUCUGACUAGUGAGAUGCUUUGGGCUGCAUAGGAUAGUAGCCACCGGAAGAUACUUCAAACGUACCAUAUCCAUAUCUGUAUGGGUCAUAGGCUGCCUGUGGCUGCGGGUACUAGGAUCCAAUAUACGACUCGGAAUCUGAUACAUCUAUGAAUCAUACUCUACUUGCAAAGUCAUUUGUAGCUGCAUCAUGUCCUCCUAAAUGACCUCGAAGAGCCUGUCUCCUAUAUGCAAUCGUAUCCUCGCGGGCUCUACUAGAUCGUGCACCACGGUUUCUAUCCUAUGUAGCAUGCAUAAACUGGCUCACCGUGAAUCGAAGACCAACCUGCGGCUAUCUUAUAAACGGCGGUCUUCUGUCCUCCACUUUCUUUUUGGCCAACAAAUUUAUGACCACCAGAAUUGCUGCUCUUGAUCUAUGUGAGUGAAUUGAUUUCUCCUCGACACUCUCCAUUGGGGCUUCUGGUCUUCUGUUCUUUUUUGAUGUGCUGGGUAGCUGCCUUCUUAUCCUUCGUGCCUCUCUCUACCUAGCUAUGCUGGAAGGAUGUAUGUCGCCCUCCUGAUUGAGUCGACCGGAUAGCGUAGCGGCCUCGUCUAAGCAUCUUUGGAUCAUAACUCUAAGAGGAUGUCUUGGACAAGAAGUCAUGUGGUGACCAGCUUUUCUG
rnacentral:lncRNA from 1 species